CAAAUCAUACCAUACCGAAUCAUUUCUGCAUUGUGUAUUUCACAAUAACAACUAUACGGCAACACCUUUAAGACGCAAUGAAAGGUAGAAGGGCGAGUUGCGAGCGGGAAGAACGCGCUUCUGCGCUGAUGACCGCGGCUAGGCAGCGUUGCUGGGCCAGUGACUUGCUCAUCUGA
rnacentral:snoRNA from 1 species